AGCCAAAAAUAAAAAUCUGGAUUUGUGCAGAAAGUGCUUAGCCAAGCCCCACACUUCACUUGAAGAGGUCCUCAAAUGAGAGGCUGCUCAGGUGCAGCUGUAUACUUUGCAGUAAAUACGGAAAGGAAUCCCACCUCUCCACUACCUUACUGCAAUUAAAAGGCAGGUUGCUGUUGAUUCUUCCACUUUUUAGGGCCAUGAAUCACGUUUGAAAAAUACUGCUGAAAUUCGAAUACAUCAAAGAUGAAAUCAAAAACCUCCAAAAGAAAGGCUUAUCAUCAUUGUGUGCUGAAUCACACUAUAAACAUGGACUUUGAAACAUCUUUUUCUGAAACUUAGAGGGACUCAGAGCAGCACAAGUAUUUUGUCUCAGUGGAAAUUAUGGAACUGCAGGUUAAGCAGCUCUAUGAAGUUCUGGAUCCCUUCUGAAAACCAGCUCCCAGAAGAUGAAUACUGUCAGCAUAACAAAGUUUCUUCAGAUAAUUUACAAUUACAGUGAAUUAGAGUUAGAGACACUGGAGUUCAUCAUAUAUAUACAUAUUUAUGUAUGUAUGUAUAUGUGAGUCUGUGUUUAGUGUCUUUUCUAAAAAUGUUUGUUCUUUCACUGACAGCUCUUAUUUUAAAAUCACUCACAAUAAAUAAUAGCCAUUUAUUACAGUGGAGGCCUAGAUCCUGAAAGUCUCAUUCAGUUAAAUCUCAUUCACUAUUUUAAAUAUUGCUUCAGUCCACAUGCUUUCCUCCACUUCCUUCUUCAUCAUCACUGCAGACAACAAUCACCAUGAAUGUUUUUUAUACAUAAUGGGGUUUUUUUAAUAUUAUUUUGAAUUAUUACAGAAUAAGCAUACCUCCCUCCAAUUAAUGGCUUGUGAUCAGAGCAUAGAUGGACACAUUUUCACUCUCAUUUCACUAGAAGUUGUCAGCAUGCUUUCCUUACAUCUCUACUCAAGCAUAGGGGAUUCUCACCACCAUAAUGUUCCCUUUAAGAGAUGAAAUGCAGAUUGCCACCUAAAAGCCAGAGCCAUUUUCAAGGGCUGCAUCUGCUAACUCUUUGUUAAACGCUGUCCCUAAAAAAGACCAAAGGAUCUCCUAAGGAAAUUUCCUACAUAGAAACCAUGCUAAUCAUGCUCUAGACAUCAUUAAGCUUGAUUAUGGACUUAUAUAAUUAAUAAAUUAAAAUACAACAUAGCAUGAUGAUAUGUCAAAUGCUUAUUUUGUUCAAUGCCAACAGAUGUGGAGAUUAAAGGUAUACACACAUUUUGGGAAGAUGAACUGGCAGACAUGCACACAAUAUUCGACUUUACAGGUAGCUAUUUGAUUUUUUGGCAUGCCAAAAAUUUUCUUCUGUUGUCUCCAGUAAUGAGGCUUAUUACUGGAGCUCUUAGCAUCAGGCCUUUGCUUCUGAGAAGAUCCUGCCCAUGCACCAGUUGUAGAACAUGCUUGAAAAUAGAGAAGUUGCAGGAAAAAAAAGGGUGUAGACAUGAUAUUAAGAGAUGUAGGCAGCAGAUCAGUGUCUGAACAAAGCAAUAAAGCUGGAUUGGCAAGGUGAAGAUGUACUUGACAUUGAUCUCCUGCCAAAAUUUUGACGUGGCAUAGGAUCAACACUGAACAAGGUCAUGAAGCAACUUGAAUUUUAUCGACAUGAAUCUUAACCAGGCAGGGACAACAGGUCUCCUUCAGAUGAAUUAUAAUUGACUUUGAAAAUUGGAAGAAUAACUAGGUUCAGAAGAUGACAUGAAACAUUUAACCUUUUAAUUGCUGAUUAGAACUUGCCGCAGAGGUGAUCAAAUUCCAUUAUCUUCAGAAGUUUCUGAAAAGAGCUUUUGUGAUUUAUUUUGUUGCAGACCGACUGGAUAUAUUUCCGUAUAAGUUAGUUUCCAAAUUAUCAAGCCAGCAAGCAUUUACUCUGAUUAUUUAUUCAUUCCCGGAGAACUUCUACAUCACUGUUUGCACUGAAUAUGAAUAAUCUUGUGAUUGUUUGAUUAAGAUGUAGCUGCAUGUGGAAAUCAAUGAUACUGUAAGAUACAGUCAUGGAACAGCAGCCAAACAGUUCCUGUGAAUUUGUUUUGGGAGUCUAAAAAAAAAAAAAAAAAAAGUAAAACAACAAUACCUUAUGCACAAUUUUGAAUGAUAAUUAUGUAAUUAUGUAGUAUAUUGCAUGUCCACAUCCUAGAAAUCACAUUGAAGCAGCAUCCAUUUUACAUCUGUAAGUAGAUUUACAUCAGUGGAAUUAAAAUUUUCCAAUGUUGCACUCAUGUUAAUAAACAAACACCAUUUAGUUACUGAGCACUACAAUUUUAAAAGAGAUUACAUCACCUCAAA